UUUGGGAAAAGGGUUGCUGCUUUCAG
rnacentral:piRNA from 1 species